GGGGGUGUAGUCUAGUGGUUAUGAUUUCUGCUUUGCAAGCUCUUCCACGAGCUCUGAAUUGCAGAGGGUCCCGUGUUCAAAUCAUGGCGCCUCCA